CCCCUCUCAGGGUGACACCUGAAGAGUUUUCAGUUCUCUAUCAGCCUUGACGACAGGAGGGAGAGUCAAGCAGAGGCAUACCCAUUCCAUUCCUAGCUCGGACAGUGGCUAGCGAGUGGAAGGGAAUCUACCACAAGU
rfam:Ornithorhynchus anatinus chromosome 3, whole genome shotgun sequence.